AACGAACGCUGGCGGCAGGCUUCAUACAUGCAAGUCGAGCGGAAAGGCCCCUUCGGGGGUACUCGAGCGGCGAACGGGUGAGUAACAGGUGGGUAAUCUGCCUUUUCGGAGGGGGAUAACGGCUGGAAACGGCCGCUAAUACCCCGUACGGUUGUGAAGCUCUCGGGCUUUGCAAAGAAAGGGGCCUUUAAAGCCCCGCCGAAAGAUGAGCCCGCCCCCCAUUAGCUAGUUGGCGGGGUAAUGGCCCACCAAGGCUGUGAUGGGUAGCCGAGCUGAGAGGUUGAUCGGCCACACUGGAACUGAGACACGGUCCAGACACCUACGGGUGGCAGCAGUAGGGAAUAUUGCGCAAUGGGCGCAAGUCUGAACCAGCCAUGCCGCGUGCAGGAUGACGGCCCUAUGGGUUGUAAACUGCUUUUCCACGGGAAGAACCCUCCGACGUGUCGGAGACUGACGGUACCGUGGGAAUAAGCAUCGGCUAACUCCGUGCCAGCAGCCGCGGUAAACGUCUACUG
rnacentral:rRNA from 1 species